rfam:Ovis aries breed Texel chromosome 14, whole genome shotgun sequence.
UCCCUGGUGGCUCAGACGGUAAAGAAUCUGCCUGCAGGGUGGGAGACCCAGGUUCAAUCCCUGGUUUGGGAA